rnacentral:rRNA from 1 species
AGAGUUUGAUCCUGGCUCAGAGCGAACGCUGGCGGCGUGCUUAAUACAUGCAAGUCGAACGAGAAAGUGGCUUCGGCCAUGAGUAAAGUGGCAGACGGGUGAGUAAUACUUAGGUAACCUGCCCUUAAGAUGGGGACAACCUUCCGAAAGGAGGGCUAAUACCGAAUGAGACCACAGUGUCUGCGGACACGGGGGUUAAAGAUGGCCUCUAUUUAUAAGCUAUCACUUAAGGAUGGGCCUAAGCACCAUUAGCUUGUUGGUAAGAUAACGGCUUACCAAUGCUACGAUGGUUAGCUGAUCUGAGAGGUUGAUCAGCCACACUGGAACUGAGACACGGUCCAGACUCCUACGGGAGGCAGCAGUAGGGAAUAUUGCGCAAUGGGGGAAACCCUGACGCAGCGACGCCGCGUGGGUGAUGAAGGCUUUCGGGUCGUAAAGCCCUGUCGAGUGGGACGAAAGACGGUAUGGCUAAUAUCCAUACCGAGUGACGGUACCACUAAAGGAAGCACCGGCUAACUACGUGCCAGCAGCCGCGGUAAAUACGUAGGGUGCAAGCGUUGCUCGGAAUCAUUGGGCGUAAAGAGCGUGUAGGUGGCUAGAUAAGUCGGAUGUGAAAUCCCUCGGCUCAACCGAGGAAAGUGCAUUCGAAACUAUCUAGCUUGAGGAUGGCAGAGGAAGGUGGAUUCCUAUUGUAAGGUGAAAUUCGUAAUUUAGGAGGAAUACCGGGUGGCGAAGGCGGGCCUUCUGGACCCAAUUUCCCUGACAAUGAAGACGCGGAAAGGCGUGGGUUAGCAAACAGGGAAUUUAGAUUACCCUGGUAGUCCACCGCUUGUAAACGAUGGGUACUAGAUGUUGUGGGAAUUGACCCCCGCAAGUGUCGUAGCUAACGCGUUAAGUACCCCGCCUGGGGAGUACGACCGCAAGGUUGAAACUCAAAGGAAUUGACGGGGGCCCGCACAAGCGGGGGAGCAUGUGGUUUAAUUCGACGCAACGCGAAGAACCUUACCUGGGCUUGACAUCCCUGGAACUCCCUAGAAGUACCGCUUCCCCUUCGGGGGCAAGGAGACAGGUGCUGCAUGGCUGUCGUCAGCUCGUGUCGUGAGAUGUUGGGUUAAGUCCCGCAACGAGCGCAACCCUUGCCCUUAGUUGCCAGCAUUCAGUUGGGCACUCUAUGGAGACUGCCGGUGUUAAACCGGAGGAAGGUGGGGAUGACGUCAAGUCCUCAUGGCCCUUAUGUCCAGGGCUACACACGUGCUACAAUGGCCGGUACAGAGGGUCGCCAACCCGCGAGGGGGAGCCAAUCCCCUAAAGCCGGUCUCAGUACGAAUUGGAGUCUGCAACUCGACUCCAUGAAGCUGGAAUCGCUAGUAAUCGCAAAUCAGCAGGUUGCGGUGAAUACGUUCCCGGGCCUUGUACACACCGCCCGUCACACCACGAAAGUCGAUUGUACCAGAAGUCACUGGGCUAACCCUAAGGAGGCAGGCGCCCAAGGUGCGAUCGAUGAUUGGGGUGAAGUCGUACAAGGUAGCCGUAGGGGAACCUGCGGCUGGAUCACCUCC